GGUUAAGCGACUAAGCGUACACGGUGGAUGCCCUGGCAGUCAGAGGCGAUGAAGGACGUGCUAAUCUGCGAUAAGCGUCGGUAAGGUGAUAUGAACCGUUAUAACCGGCGAUUUCCGAAUGGGGAAACCCAGUGUGUUUCGACACACUAUCAUUAACUGAAUCCAUAGGUUAAUGAGGCGAACCGGGGGAACUGAAACAUCUAAGUACCCCGAGGAAAAGAAAUCAACCGAGAUUCCCCCAGUAGCGGCGAGCGAACGGGGAGCAGCCCAGAGCCUGAAUCAGUGUGUGUGUUAGUGGAAGCGUCUGGAAAGGCGCGCGAUACAGGGUGACAGCCCCGUACACAAAAAUGCACAUGCUGUGAGCUCGAUGAGUAGGGCGGGACACGUGGUAUCCUGUCUGAAUAUGGGGGGACCAUCCUCCAAGGCUAAAUACUCCUGACUGACCGAUAGUGAACCAGUACCGUGAGGGAAAGGCGAAAAGAACCCCGGUGAGGGGAGUGAAAAAGAACCUGAAACCGUGUACGUACAAGCAGUGGGAGCACGCUUCGGCGUGUGACUGCGUACCUUUUGUAUAAUGGGUCAGCGACUUAUAUUCUGUAGCAAGGUUAACCGAAUAGGGGAGCCGAAGGGAAACCGAGUCUUAACUGGGCGUUAAGUUGCAGGGUAUAGACCCGAAACCCGGUGAUCUAGCCAUGGGCAGGUUGAAGGUUGGGUAACACUAACUGGAGGACCGAACCGACUAAUGUUGAAAAAUUAGCGGAUGACUUGUGGCUGGGGGUGAAAGGCCAAUCAAACCGGGAGAUAGCUGGUUCUCCCCGAAAGCUAUUUAGGUAGCGCCUCGUGAAUUCAUCUCCGGGGGUAGAGCACUGUUUCGGCAAGGGGGUCAUCCCGACUUACCAACCCGAUGCAAACUGCGAAUACCGGAGAAUGUUAUCACGGGAGACACACGGCGGGUGCUAACGUCCGUCGUGAAGAGGGAAACAACCCAGACCGCCAGCUAAGGUCCCAAAGUCAUGGUUAAGUGGGAAACGAUGUGGGAAGGCCCAGACAGCCAGGAUGUUGGCUUAGAAGCAGCCAUCAUUUAAAGAAAGCGUAAUAGCUCACUGGUCGAGUCGGCCUGCGCGGAAGAUGUAACGGGGCUAAACCAUGCACCGAAGCUGCGGCAGCGACGCUUAUGCGUUGUUGGGUAGGGGAGCGUUCUGUAAGCCUGCGAAGGUGUGCUGUGAGGCAUGCUGGAGGUAUCAGAAGUGCGAAUGCUGACAUAAGUAACGAUAAAGCGGGUGAAAAGCCCGCUCGCCGGAAGACCAAGGGUUCCUGUCCAACGUUAAUCGGGGCAGGGUGAGUCGACCCCUAAGGCGAGGCCGAAAGGCGUAGUCGAUGGGAAACAGGUUAAUAUUCCUGUACUUGGUGUUACUGCGAAGGGGGGACGGAGAAGGCUAUGUUGGCCGGGCGACGGUUGUCCCGGUUUAAGCGUGUAGGCUGGUUUUCCAGGCAAAUCCGGAAAAUCAAGGCUGAGGCGUGAUGACGAGGCACUACGGUGCUGAAGCAACAAAUGCCCUGCUUCCAGGAAAAGCCUCUAAGCAUCAGGUAACAUCAAAUCGUACCCCAAACCGACACAGGUGGUCAGGUAGAGAAUACCAAGGCGCUUGAGAGAACUCGGGUGAAGGAACUAGGCAAAAUGGUGCCGUAACUUCGGGAGAAGGCACGCUGAUAUGUAGGUGAGGUCCCUCGCGGAUGGAGCUGAAAUCAGUCGAAGAUACCAGCUGGCUGCAACUGUUUAUUAAAAACACAGCACUGUGCAAACACGAAAGUGGACGUAUACGGUGUGACGCCUGCCCGGUGCCGGAAGGUUAAUUGAUGGGGUUAGCGCAAGCGAAGCUCUUGAUCGAAGCCCCGGUAAACGGCGGCCGUAACUAUAACGGUCCUAAGGUAGCGAAAUUCCUUGUCGGGUAAGUUCCGACCUGCACGAAUGGCGUAAUGAUGGCCAGGCUGUCUCCACCCGAGACUCAGUGAAAUUGAACUCGCUGUGAAGAUGCAGUGUACCCGCGGCAAGACGGAAAGACCCCGUGAACCUUUACUAUAGCUUGACACUGAACAUUGAGCCUUGAUGUGUAGGAUAGGUGGGAGGCUUAGAAGUGUGGACGCCAGUCUGCAUGGAGCCGACCUUGAAAUACCACCCUUUAAUGUUUGAUGUUCUAACGUUGACCCGUAAUCCGGGUUGCGGACAGUGUCUGGUGGGUAGUUUGACUGGGGCGGUCUCCUCCUAAAGAGUAACGGAGGAGCACGAAGGUUGGCUAAUCCUGGUCGGACAUCAGGAGGUUAGUGCAAUGGCAUAAGCCAGCUUGACUGCGAGCGUGACGGCGCGAGCAGGUGCGAAAGCAGGUCAUAGUGAUCCGGUGGUUCUGAAUGGAAGGGCCAUCGCUCAACGGAUAAAAGGUACUCCGGGGAUAACAGGCUGAUACCGCCCAAGAGUUCAUAUCGACGGCGGUGUUUGGCACCUCGAUGUCGGCUCAUCACAUCCUGGGGCUGAAGUAGGUCCCAAGGGUAUGGCUGUUCGCCAUUUAAAGUGGUACGCGAGCUGGGUUUAGAACGUCGUGAGACAGUUCGGUCCCUAUCUGCCGUGGGCGCUGGAGAACUGAGGGGGGCUGCUCCUAGUACGAGAGGACCGGAGUGGACGCAUCACUGGUGUUCGGGUUGUCAUGCCAAUGGCACUGCCCGGUAGCUAAAUGCGGAAGAGAUAAGUGCUGAAAGCAUCUAAGCACGAAACUUGCCCCGAGAUGAGUUCUCCCUGACCCUUUAAGGGUCCUGAAGGAACGUUGAAGACGACGACGUUGAUAGGCCGGGUGUGUAAGCGCAGCGAUGCGUUGAGCUAACCGGUACUAAUGAACCGUGAGGCUUAACCUU
rnacentral:rRNA from 1 species